ACCCACGACAAAUCUUACCACUCCUUGUAUAAUAAAUAUUUUCCUUAAGGGAUUGUUUUGACUUUGAGGAACUUUAAUUAAAUAAUAACAUAUAUACUUAUGAUAAGUCUUUAAACUUACUUAUAUAUAUUUGUAAUACGUCAUCUAAACUUAUAUUAAUAAUAAUUCAAUAGUUAUUAUUGAAUCGAUGACAUAAUUGUUGUUAAUGUGAUGGAUAGUAAUAAUAAUUAAAUAUUGUUAUGGGUGUGAGUAACAUUAGUAAUAAUAACUAAUUAUUACCAUUAUAAACCACAGUAAUAAUAAUUGAUUAAAUAAUUAAAUGGAAUGAAUGAUUAAGCAAUUAGUAAUUCAUUAAUAUUUAUUACAGGUGUUGCAUGGCUGUCUUUAGUUCGUGUUGUGAAAUGUUAGGUUAAUUCCGAAAACGAACGCAAUCCUUAUCUUUAUUUAAAACUAUAUAAAGAGGUAUCUUUCCAUAAGAAGGAAUAAUUAGGGUGAAGACAAGUCCUCAUGACCCUUAUGGAGUGGGCUACAGACGUGCCACAAAUAUUUCUACAAAGGGAAGCAAAGAUGAAAGUCUGAGCUACUCCUCAAAAGAA
rnacentral:rRNA from 1 species